UACGGAGGAUGCAAGCGUUAUCCGGAAUGAUUGGGCGUAAAGCGUCCGCAGGUGGCAAUGUAAGUCUGCUGUUAAAGAGUCUAGCUCAACUAGACUAAAGCAGUGGAAACUACAUAGCUAGAGUACGGUUCGGGGCGAAGAGGGAAUUCCGUGGUGUAGGCGGUGAAAUGCGUAGAGAUCAGGAAGAACACCAGUGGCGAAGGCGCUCUGCUAGCCGUACUGACACUGAGGACGA
rnacentral:rRNA from 1 species